rnacentral:misc_RNA from 1 species
GAGACUUCCUUAGAGCAUCCAGCAGAAUCUCUGCAGGAGUUGAGACAGGAGCUUGAAUACUCCCAGAUACUGAUUGCAAGUUAGGUAAACAUGCUGAAUGGCUUUGAUGUUGUGACAAAAGAUCCUUGUGAUAUGGAGUGGAGAUGUCUCCAGGUUCAGGUACAAUACGAGUUCUUUUCCACUCGACAAGCUCUUUCAAGGAUUCAUUGGUCCAUUCAUGGCUUUUGACUUCACCAAUCA